UCUACUUACGAGUUCUACCGUUUGUUUCCCUGGAAAAUAUAUGAGACUUAAUAUUUUUAUUUUGUUAGUUUAUUUGUGUUUGUAUUUCAUCUUGUUGUGUUCAUUACUCAGAUCCCUAUCGCUUUUAUUUCUGUUCCAUUUUUCCUCUUUAUUUUCUAAUUUUGGGUAUUAUUUACUCAGAUCCCCUUUCUUUUUAUUAUUGUUUUUUCUCUUUUAUAUUUUAGCUAGAAAUCGACGAUGGAAGUUACUGCUGGUCUCAUUGCUUCUGGUAACAAGUUAUUGCUUAAAAUUCAUGGUAACAAAUCUACUUCAAAGGAAGUUAUUCAUAUUCCUUCGUAUAGAAGCGAAGUUAUUUACGGUGGAACUUAGUUCUCCAGCUCUCGUAAGUUUGUUCCCAGUUUUGUAUUUGCCAUCUAUACCAGGUUUACCUCUCUUGCUUCUCUUCGUCUUCAUCUCCCUUUCAUUUAUUCUACAAAAAAUGCCUCUUACUUGUCAUUUUUUUUCUCACAUAUCGUGCAAGACUCAUUUUUCUUUCUUUAUGCUCUAGUCUUAACAAUGCACUUCAACUGAUCGAUAUAAUGCUUCUUUAUACAAUUUGUUUCUGGCUUUCAAGGGGUGUUGUCUGUAAGAUGUUGAAGCAAGAGAUAUGGAAGGUGUUGAGCAAAGAGGUAGUUUCAGAUUCUGGUGAUAAACUUCUUUUGCCUUGUUUGUACUUGCCCACGACUUCUUUUCACGCUGGACAGGGACCAAAUAGAGAGCACAAGUGAGAGCGAAUGCAGUGCAAGUGAUGAAGUGCUUGUUGUUCCUUAUGAUAACUUAGCACCUAUGUCUUGUGAUAUUACUGAAUCUAAGCAGCUUUUGGAUAAGCUUGUUGUGGUGAAGUAUAAUGGAGCUUUGGGAAAGAAUAUGGGUUUUGGUGGUCCCGAAUGGGGGUUGGAGAAUACGAUCAAAGGGAAAACAUCAGAUAUGGUGAUUCCCAGCCAAGCAGUGGCUUCUUAGACACCCAACAUUUUGCACAACCAAACAUGACCACAACUUUUAAACCUACAUGUUGAGGUUGCUACACACAAGUCCCUUCCUUUUUUUAGUUUAUGUGCUAUGUGAUGAUUGUGUUUUAAAAUUUAACUUGUUUUAGUUCCUUACAUUC